rnacentral:rRNA from 1 species
AGUGAACGCUGGCGGUAGGCCUAACACAUGCAAGUCGAACGGCAGCACAGUAAGAGCUUGCUCUUACGGGUGGCGAGUGGCGGACGGGUGAGGAAUACAUCGGAAUCUACUUUUUCGUGGGGGAUAACGUAGGGAAACUUACGCUAAUACCGCAUACGACCUACGGGUGAAAGCAGGGGAUCUUCGGACCUUGCGCGAUUGAAUGAGCCGAUGUCGGAUUAGCUAGUUGGCGGGGUAAAGGCCCACCAAGGCGACGAUCCGUAGCUGGUCUGAGAGGAUGAUCGGCCACACUGGAACUGAGACACGGUCCAGACUCCUACGGGAGGCAGCAGGGGGGAAUAUUGGACAAGGGGCGAAAGCCUGAUCCAGCCAUACCGCGUGGGUGAAGAAGGCCUUCGGGUUGUAAAGCCCUUUUGUUGGGAAAGAAAAGCAGCAGGUUAAUACCCCGCUGUUCUGACGGUACCAAAAGAAUAAGCACCGGCUAACUUCGU